AAUGGCAUUUAGAGAAGUCAGAAGGUUUAAGUGAUUGCUACUUAUUCUGGCCAAUACAGAAUACUAAGAAGAGGUGCAAGUUUGGGCUCCUGGGAGGUUCCAGUUCUGCUGGGAAUUGUGGCCCUGAACCAGGCCUUUAUGAUUGGAUGUGAUGUUAGCUAUGGAACACACAGCCUCCUGCUGCAAGUCUUAUUCAACAGUUCAGAUGGGAUUCGUGUUGUGUAACUUGAGCCACAGAUUAUUUGAAGUGGUUUGAUACAAUUUUCAAAGGCGCAUCAAGCACAACCAAAAGACAAUGCAAGAACUGGCAUCUGCUGACUGACUCUGUUUUCUUCUCCAUCUGGUAAAGACAAGGGGAAGGCAGAGACUUAAGUCCCAAAAUGGAAAAGGGGAAUUGCUCAAGCUGAAGAAGUAUCAAAGAAGAAGAAACCCAUCAGUUCAGUCAAUGCACAAAAUGCAAUAUGAAAUGAAGCUAUUAAUGCUGUGACGAAGAACCUGUUCCAGAAUAAUCCUUAUUUCCAUUUUUUAUGGUUCAGUUAUGCCUAUUUCUCUGAAGCUCUUCCCCCUUUCUGAAGAGGAUUCACCUGGCUGGCAGCCAUAUGGAGUCACAGCACAGUGGGAUUGUACUGCUCAUAUUUAUAUGGAAUUGUUCUCUAGGAGCAGGAGGAGGCUAAGCCAUUUGGAAUGACUGCAUUGUAUUUAGAUUAACAGAGAUGUACCACAGUGUUGUUUCCUGGUAUUUUGAAGGAGUGUACCUGUAUGUACAUGCUUAAUAGUCCAGAAGAAUAACAAGACACUGCUAGUAAUCUUGUGGUUUAUUAACAUUUUUGGAU